CAAUAGACACAGAGUGGACAGGCU
rnacentral:piRNA from 1 species